UAAGAACAUAAGAAAGUUUACAAACGAGAGGAGGCCAUUCAGCCCAUCUUGCUCGUUUGGUUGUUAGUAACUUAUUGAUCUCAGAAUCUCAUCAAGCAACUUCUUGAAGGAUCCCAGGGUGUCAGCUUCAACAACAUUACUGGGGAGACGGGUCUGCCCUGAAGGGUACACGUUUGUGAAUGGAAGUUCAUUAUAGAAUCUCAGCACAGUGCUCUGCACAUGAACAGUGGAGUCAAAGUGACCUACACUGAUGUCAAGUCCUCGAUGGUGUCCAUUGAGGAUCCCGUCGCUCCGCACAAGGGGCGCCAUCGCAUCACCAAAUCUCUGUUUCAAGCUGAGGGGGAAUCAAGGCUGGGAAUCAGUAGUGCUUUUACAAGGAGACUCGGGUUUCCCGCUGUGUGCCCACAGAGGAAGGACUGGAUCUCCAGGCUGCUGGCCAGUGGUUGGACCUUACCCAGCAAGCCGUUGCUGGCGCUGUUGGAUUGCAAGCCAAGGAAUGAGUACCUUCAAACUACAUGAGACUAAUCACUCUCCAACCAGUUUAAUUGGAGCCUUAAUUUUCCAAAUUGGAGUUUUAUUUCCAAUUUUCAUCUAAUGUCUUACCUUGCCAAUGUGUAUAAUUGUAUCUCUUAGCAAUAUAGGAGUUACAUUUAACAAACAUGGUCCCACCUACAUUUUCUCACCUUCAAACAGCAGAGGGGUGAAGGAACUGCAGUAGAGUAAUUGAUUCUAGUUUAGUGCAUUUAAUAUACUAUAGUAUAAGCGGUCCUACUAUUAUACUCUUACAAAGUGAUGAUCUUGACGUUGGAUCUAUAGU